UGUUGCUAUGGCAGCACAUAACAAAAUUUGAAAUAAAACAGACAUUAGUGUGGCUUCUGCCCAAGGAUGACAAGGAAAUUUGUGAAGGGUUUCUUAUUUUU
rnacentral:snRNA from 1 species